CUCAUCCCAUCUGCAUGAGGUGGCUUCCCAGGUCUUUGAGACGUCCUUCACACUGCUGCAGUCUAGACCAUCCUCACCCAUCACCAUUCACCUUAAAGUUUUCAAGGGAGCCCUCCUGCCCAGCCCUUCCUGUCAGAAGGUGAGAGCAGGCCUCGACUGAGAAAUUCAACCUAGACUUGAAGAGCUUUGCUGGCUAACCAGGCCUCAUACACAGUACAGGGUGUCUGCUAUGCUUCAGGCAUUGCUUUGUGUCCUGAAAGAAAAUGACACAGCCUCCUAUGGAUGGUAGCUACCCAAGAAAAGGACUGAGCAUCACAAGGGAUUAAGGAUGGCUCCCCUGUGCAGAAGGCAUCUGCAAAUGAAAAAGAAAACUUGGAUG